GUUGGUUGAAAAUCACCCCCGGCUUUGGCCGUGGCCGCGGGUGAGAUUCGGCGCCUAGAUCCUCCGGGGGCCUCAGCUCACCACGCGCUGCCCUGUGUGCGGCGGUGAAACCCACGCCCCGACAGGC
ensembl:snoRNA